GCUGGUGUGGUGAAAUUGGAACACACAUGAAAUUUAAGCUUUCACGGUUAAUAACCAUGCGGGUUCAAGUCCCGCCACCAGCACCA
rnacentral:tRNA from 1 species